AGGCUGGCGGCGUGGUUGACUCAUGCAGAGUCRAGGGAAGCACUAAUUUUCAAUUCUUCGGAAGAGAUGUUUAGUGACUUACCGGCGGACGGGUGAGUAACGCGUGGGUAACCUGCCUCAUACAGGGGGAUAACAGUUAGAAAUGACUGCUAAUACCGCAUAAGAUCACAGGAUCGCACGAUACAGUGAUAAAAACUCUGGUGGUAUGAGAUGGACCCGCGUCUGAUUAGCUAGUUGGUAAGGUAACGGCUUACCAAGGCAACGAUCAGUAGCCGGCCUGAGAGGGUGAACGGCCACAUUGGGACUGAGACACGGCCCAAACUCCUACGGGAGGCAGCAGUGAGGAAUAUUGCACAAUGGGGGAAACCCUGAUGCAGCGACGCCGCGUGAAGGACGAAGUAUUUCGGUACGUAAACUUCUAUCAGCAGGGAAGAAAAUGACGGUACCUGACUAAGAACCCCGGCUAACUACGUGCCAGCAGCCGCGGUAAUACGUAGGGGGCAAGCGUUAUCCGGAUUUACUGGGUUUUAAAGGGAGCGUAAA
rnacentral:rRNA from 1 species